GGGAGGGAGGGGGUGUUUUUAACUAGAGAUGGGCCAAAACUGGAACCCAGGGUCUGAACUCGGAGGGACUGUUUGGGGUUCGGGUAACUGGGACCUGGAACCAAAUCGCCUGUGGCUUUGUUAAACUACAACCCACCUUCCCGUGAGCUUGCAAGACCAGCCCCGGCUCCAUCCAGCGCUGGCGUGGCGGGGGUGUGGGCUCACGGGCCGGCCUGAGUUCUUGUUGCUUGUUUGUUGGUAGUUUCUCUAUUUUUAAAACAGGAAAAAAAAAAUCCAGUCGCCCGGCUCAGAACGAGGCGCCCAGAGAGGAAUGUGGUGUCGCUGGGCGCGUUGGCGACGCUCUGGGGGUUCAGUGGUCGUACUCUCCUGCGUCACUGGGCGCUUCCCCUGCUGGAAAGGGCCCCCGCACAUGGCAACGGGGCGAGAGAACACUUCACCCCAGGCCCAUAGGACUGUAAGGCUGCUGGAACUGUUGGGGGGGCAGGUGUAGGACUCGAAAUGACUCUGAACUCAAAUUGACUAGAUUUCGGAUUGAUUGUGUUGCUUUAGAUUAACCCCCCAGCCCUGCAAACCCACUUCAUUUCCAGCCCCAAUGGCAGGAACUGCCCUACAAGAGAUCAACUUCAUGUUCUUUAUUUUUCCUUUGUUUCCUCCUAAAGCACUUAAUCCAUUUGUGGGGUCUGCCCAGUCAGAAGAGCUGUUCUGUUCUGUGAUUGUCGCUUCUGUUCCUUUUUUCUGUUGUUUUGGUUUCCUUUCUCUCCCUCCCCUGCCCCCUUCCCGUUUGGCUGUAGGUUUAGGCCAGUGUUGUGUAGAGCCUUUGUGGGUAUUUGGUAGGUUUCUCCCCAGCCACAACUGUUUCUGUUUUUUUUUUCUUUCAUUUUUUGUAUUUUUUUUUUUUUACGAUUUUCAGGUCUUUGUGUUCGAGAAGCUAUUAUAUUUUGUUAAGAAAGCGAAAAAAAAGAGGCUUGUGCCUUUGUAAAGAAACAAAAUAAAGUUUGUACUUUGUUUUUUAGAA